GACGUAGGGUGCGAGCGUUAAUCGGAAUUACUGGGCGUAAAGCGUGCGCAGGCGGUUUUGUAAGACAGGUGUGAAAUCCCCGGGCUCAACCUGGGAACUGCACUUGUGACUGCAAGACUAGAGUGUGUCAGAGGGAGGUGGAAUUCCGCGUGUAGCAGUGAAAUGCGUAGAGAUGCGGAGGAACACCGAUGGCGAAGGCAGCCUCCUGGGAUAACACUGACGCUCAGGCACGAAAGCGUGGGGAGCAAACAGG
rnacentral:rRNA from 1 species